UACAGAGGGGGCAAGCGUUGUUCGGAAUUACUGGGCGUAAAGGGCGCGUAGGCGGCCUGUUAAGUCGAACGUGAAAUCCCCGGGCUCAACCCGGGAACUGCGUCCGAUACUGGCAGGCUUGAAUCCGGGAGAGGGAUGUGGAAUUCCAGGUGUAGCGGUGAAAUGCGUAGAUAUCUGGAGGAAUACCGGUGGCGAAGGCGGCAUCCUGGACCGGCAUUGACGCUGAUGAGCGAAAGCUAGGGGAGCAAACGGG
rnacentral:rRNA from 1 species